UUUUCUUAAUUUUCAGAAAUUCUUUACUGAGAAAAUCCUAUUUUCUACACACUGCAAUAUUCUCCCAGUCUGGAUAAUGCUAUAGUCAAGAUCCCACUGUUGAUGUUUUUGUUACCACAGCAAAAGAAUGAUAAUUUAAGGCAGUGGCGUAAAGAUGAUGAAUGGACCAAAGCAAUCAAAAUAACUAAAUAACUACCAGAAGUUAAAGAAUAUUUUAAGAGAAAUGGUUUGCUUGCUGUGAGAUGACAACCUAGGAUUGGAUGGACAAACUACCUACAGAUGUAAUGUCUGUGACAGUGUGACUUAUUUUAUUUCCAAAAAUGCCUCUAAGCUGAUUAAAAAAUUCAUUGGACAUAAGAUGUUAACAAUGGUUUCCAUUAAAACAUAAAGAUGAACAUGAGGUAAAUCAAAAGGAGUCGAAACGUGGAGAAACACAGCCCCCCCACUCAUACUUUCUUCUCUUGGAUUUGGAAAGGACAGUUGUAAUUAUGAAAUGCUUUGUGCAUCUUUAAAUCUUGUAUUUCGUUAGUUUGACAAUAAUUGCUACUACAAUUUUUUACUCUUCUGAAUUGUAGUAGUUAAUGAGUUAUAAUUUAAACACUAAAUCAAGAAGGAGGCAAGUAAAAAGGAUUCGAAACCUGGAGAAGUGAAGCCCCGUUAAUGUUUUUUAGAAAAACAAGUGGUCCAAUUCACACAGACGUAUAUAAGGCUGCGCAUGUGAUAUUUGUGUCUUCUACUCUGUGGUUCAUUUCAUUGUCAAUGGUAUCAUAUUCCUUUCAAAAGUAUCUAUUGUUAGAGGCACUCUGCUGUCAACGCUUAGGAAUAAAACUCGAGCACCUUCGGUAAUCCUCGAGAUUGUUCAACAAAAGGGAAAGAAUUAAAGUUCAGUUUGGUCCUACUGAAACAACCAAUGUCUACAUGGACAUCAUCUUUCCUGGAUUGUUCUCUUGAUUACCUGUUUACAUCUUUGCCUUGCAACAUUAUGAAGUUAAUUUUCAACUGAUGUGUGAGAGCAACAGGACAUUGAUUUGAAUUCAAUGGAAACAACAAUUUUUCUACGAUGGUAUUCGUGCUGGAUUUAUUUUGCUUUUUCCACCUGCAAAGUUUGGAAUGUUACAAUCUACAGUUAAUUAAGGUGAGAAUAUUUGAUAUAAUUAAUUUUAAUUGCUCUUUAUUAAUCUAUUUGCCACCGUAU
rnacentral:lncRNA from 1 species